UUCCAUGCCUCCUAGAAGUUCC
rnacentral:miRNA from 1 species